GCCUCCACCCUGCCUCUCCGUGGUUCCCCGGGCUGCCCCUGCCCCCGCCCCCGCCCCCGCCACCUCCCCCGCCGUCGCCCAAUUCCCCCAGCCCCCACCCUCGGCUGCUGCCCGAGCUUCCUCCACGCGCCGUGCAGUCUCCACGGCGACGCUGCGUUCCCGACUCGGAGCCCCCAGCUCCGCGCGAGCAGCUAGCCGGGCUGGCUCUCGGUGUGUGCCCUUCGGAUGGUCUGCUGAAGAGGGCCGCCAGCUGGUAAGACACUCCGAGGCAACGACCGGUCUCCCUCUCCCUAGCCCGGUGUGCAGUCUGACCCAGCCCCCACAGCAGACCACCCCCAGACCGGGCGCCCGAGUCUGCGGACCGCUCUACCGCACCUGGUUCUGGCUCUGGGCCCCGGGCCCCGUGGCUGCCAGGGGCCGCCGGGAAGGGAGGAUGCGCGCCACUGGGGUGCGCCUGGCUUGCGGCACCCUCCUCCCGCAGUGGUCGGAAGAGACAGCAAAGAACAAACAGAAUGGCAGAUUGCUAAUGUUUGAUCCAAACGAAAAAGUGAUGAUUGAAUCAAACGAAGCAAUGUCAGAGUAAGAAGAUGUCUUUGAUUGUGCAGCUGAUCUCUCCCAUGCCUUUUAAGCAAUUAGAACUAGAUAAUGCAGCCAUUUGUCACCCAAUUAAAUUUGAAAGGCCAGAAAUGCAUGGAUUAGCACUUCAGCUUUUGCUGCAGUCAAAGCAAUUGUUACUAUAGAUAGAAGGACAGUUAAAAUGAAAAAUGAAUUUUGAUAAAAAUGCAGAAGUAUAGAUAAUAUUCACUUCUACUUUUUAAUGCUUAAACACCCUGUAUUCUGUAUUUUACUUGUAUCAUAAUUUUCAUUGCUCAUUCCUAUUUCCCUUUGAUACUUAUUUCUUUCACAAUAUUUCUUCAAGUGAAUAUGUACUUUAAAAUUAACAAAUUAUUUACUAUAACAUGAAUUGUUACUACUCAAUAAAGAAAGUAAUCACCUCAACUAGUUGAAGAAACUGGUGUUAAAAAAAUUGUAUUCUUUCCAGCCUUUUGGCUAAGAUCAAGUGUAAAAAAAUCACAGUACAAUAUCAAUUUAGUAGCUAAAUUUUAAAUAUCUUCUCUGUUCAAGGCUCUGAUUCUGAUAAUCUAUUAAAGCCCUUCCUGUAGUCAUCUCCUACUUUCUGAAAAAAAAAUCUCUAUUUAUUCUAUGAAAAAUUACAGCUUGAAAGUUGAUCAUAAACACAUUUGUGGGGAUUACUGACAAAUUAGUAGGUACUAUUCUGGUGGGAUUCUUCUAUUCAAAUUCAUACUGUUUUUGUUUAUUCUAAAUAUUGACUGGGAAAAAUUCUACCCUAGACAACAUAUAUUUAAAUUUUCAUAUUGUCAAAACGAAAAAUGUCCACCUUGGCUUUUGUUGUAAAUUAUAUGUAUAUUACAUAUUAUAUAAUACAUGUUUUUAUAUUAAAGAGAAAGUAAUGUAUAGCAAAUCAGUGACAGAGGACCUUAUUUAUUUUCAUUUAAAGUUACAAUCAACCAGAAAAAAAGAGCCUUGUUACAUAUGGUAAUCUACAUGUAAUUUUAUAUGUAUCCUAUUACAUGGUUGAAAACAUUUAAUAAAAUCUAAAAAAUGUU
rnacentral:lncRNA from 10 species